rfam:Dipodomys ordii contig_34061, whole genome shotgun sequence.
GGGAAGGUGGCUCAGUGGUAGAGCGCUUGCCUUACAUGCAUGAGGCCCUAGGUUCUAUUCCUCAGCAUCACCU